AGCCCAUUUUACAGAUGAGAAAACUGAGGCAGAGCAGAAGUGACUUGCUCAGGGUCAUCCAGCUAACGAAUGUCCGAGUCGGAGAUGAACUUUGGAGGAUCCUGUUUCUUGAGAAGAUCCCUGUCCAGAGCUGGAGGGCAAGAGACCAUGGGAGAGCGUCACAGAUUUUGAGUCACAAGGGAACUUAGAGUUCUUCCAGGGGACGGCUCUCAUUCCUCAUCCGGUGAAAGUAAAGGAUUCUGGGUUAUCGGAGCUAGAGAGAACUUUGGAGAUCAUUUAGACCAACCGCCACACUUAACAAUCUUUUUCACUUUGAGUGGGACAAGUGAGGAAAGUGCCCAAGAUGAGGCCCGAGGAUGGGCAGGGGUCUCCGCGAGAGAUCACUUUCCGUGAUCUUCUUCCCUCAGACACUUGCCUCUUCCACACUUCCCCAUUAUGGCCAGAGCAUCCUUCCUGUCACCCAGGGGUGUGACCUUGGAAUCACCUCAGCUCUUCAUCCUCACUCACUCUAUGAAGUCCAUCAGUUUCUAGGUCUAGAAGAGCCAGAAAGAGCAUCCCUUGCCCUCUGCUCCCCAAUCGCCCUCUGCUCCCUCUCCAGGGAAGUAACCUUUGUGGCCUCUAUAAGCACUGGAACCCUCACCUCCUCAGAUGUGGAAAAGAAAAUGUUCCUCACCAAAGGCCUCCGAGGGCUGUCAAAUGGUUCAGCCAGAAGUGGACGUGAUUUUAUUUGGAGGAAAUUACUAGGUGCUUAAUAAAGGCUUCUUCUCAUCCCCCCUUUUGCGGUCAUACCCCGAGAAUCAAUGAGCGCUUCCAUCGUCCCUGCAGCUGGACCAUCCUCUCCAUGUUGUCCCCUGUGUUCAAAUGUGAACCCCUUGAGAUCGCUGACUCUCUUUUCUCUCUAUCUCUGCAACAUUUAGAACACUGCUUUGCAUCUUGUGAAG
rnacentral:lncRNA from 1 species